rnacentral:rRNA from 1 species
UGAGGAACAUGACCUUCGCGGGGGAGUAGCCGGCCCAACGGCCGGGUAAUACCGCGUACGACCACAUGGGGUCAUCCCUGAGUGGUGAAAGCAGCAAUGCGCCGAUGGAGUGCCUCGCGGCCUAUCAGCUAGUUGGUGAGGUAACGGCUCACCAAGGCGACGACGGGUAGCUGGUCUGAGAGGAUGGCCAGCCCACAUUGGGACUGGGACACGGCCCAGCUCCUAGGGACGG